CCUUUUUGGAUGUCUCCUCUUCAAGUGCUGGUUUCUCUUCAAAUAAUAGUUCGUUAGGUGUUUCUUCCCGUUUUGGUUCUUCAGGUGCUUCUUCAGUUAUUGGUUUUGCAGCUUUCUCCUCAAUUGUCUCCUCAACCAAUGGUUCUUCAAGCUUCUCUUCCAUUGUUGUUUCUUUAGGUUUCUCUUCAAUUGCCGGUGGUUCAGGUUUUUUCUCAUCCACUGGUUCUUCUGGCUUCUCUGAAACUGCUGUUUCUUCUGAUUUCUCUUCAAUUGCUUGUUCUUCAUGUUUUUUUUCAACUACUGGCUCUUCAGUUUUUUCCUCAACUGAUGCAUAGUCAGCAAUGUCGUUGGUAUUGCAUGGAAUUGCAUUGUCUGUCUUGUCCUUUGAGUUUACAAUUGGCAAAUUAUGCAAGAAAAUUUUAAGUUUCAUUUAGUCUUUCAACAGAUAAACUUAUGUAAAUUCGUUGCACAUAUAAAGCUAAUAUGAUGGAUAGUUUUUAUGACAGUGUUUAUUUGUCACCUUCUCCUGAAGAGCUUCUGUUUCAGGUUCUUCCUCUUCAAUUGCUGGUUUUUCAUCUUUCUUUUCAACAACUAGUUCUUCAGAUGUGUCUUCAACUGUUGGUUCUUCAGGUUUCUCUUCAAGAGCUAGUUCUUCAGGUGUUUCCUCCCCUGCAAGCUCUUCAGGUGUUUCUAUAGUCGCCGGUUCUUCAGGUUUCUCUGUAAUCUCUAGUUCAGGUUUCUCCUCAACUGGUACUUCAGAUUUCUCCUCAAAUGUUGGUUCUUCAGGUUUCUCCUUAAUAGCUGGUACACCAGGUUUCUCUUCAAUGAGUGGUUCUUCAGUUUUUUCUUCAACUGCCGAUUCUUCAGGAUUUUCCUCACUGUCUGGAGAGUGUGCAACAUCAUUAUUGGUAUUGCAUGGGAUUUCACUGCCAGUUUUUUCGUUCGAGUCUACAAUUAGCAUAUUCUGCAAAAAGAAUUUAAUGUUUCACUUAGCCUUUCAAUAAAGAUGCAGAUGUGAAUCAUAGUACAUACAUAACUAACAAAAUGGAUAAACUUUGUGAUAGUGCUUGACCCUUACCUUUUCCAAAAGAGUUACCUUUUCAGGUUUCUCCUCUUCCAUGGCUGGUUCUUCAUGUAUCUCUUCAAAUGCUAGUUCCUUAGGUGUUUCUUCAAUUACUUGUUUUUCAGGUUUCUCCUCAAUUUUUGGUUCUUUGAUUGUCUCCUCAACUGAUGGUACUUCAAGCUUUUCUCCCACGGUUGGUUUUUCAGGUUUCUCUUCAACUGUCGGUUGUUCAGGUAUUUUCUCAACCGCUGGUUCUUCUGGUUUCCCCGAAACCCUUGAUUCUUCAGAUUUUUCUUCAAUUGCUGAUUCUUCAGAUAUCUCUUCAACUAUUGCUUCUUCAGUUUUUUCCUCAACUGAUGCAUAGUCAGCAAUGUCAUUGUUGGUAUUGCAUGGAAUUGCAUUGUCUAUUGUGUUCUUUGAGUUUACAAUUGGAAAAUUCUGCAAGAAAAUUUAAAGUUUCAUCUAGUCUUUCAAUAGAUAAACAUGUAAAUGCGUUGCACAUAUAAAGCUAAUAUGCUGAAUAAACUUUGUGAGAGUUAAUUCUCACCUUCUCCUUAAGAGCUUCCAUUUCAGGUUCCUCCUCUUCAAUUGCUGUUUUUUCAACUUUCUCUUCAACAACUAGCUCUUCAGAUGUAUCUUCAACCGUUGGUUCUUCAGGUUUCUCUUCAAGUGCUAGUUCUUCAGGUGUUUCUAUUGCUGCCGGUUCUUGAGGUUUCUCUUCAGUCUCUGGUUCUUGAGGUUUCUCCUCAGCUGGUACUUCAGAUUUCUCCUCAAAUGUUGGUUUCUCCUCAACUGCUGGUACAUCAGGUUUCUCUUCAAUGACUAGUUCUUCAUUUUUUAUUUCAACUGCCGGUUCUUCAGAAUUUUCCUCAAUGUCUGGAGAGUGAGCAACAUCAUUAUUGGUAUUGCAUGGAAUUUCACUGCCAGUUUUGGUGUUCGAGUCUACAAUUAGCAUAUUCUGCAAAAAGACUUUAAUGUUUCACUUAGCCUUUCAAAAGAAGAGCAUGUGAAUCACUGUACAUGCAUAACUAACAAAAUGGAUAUACUUUGUGAUAGUACUUGACCCUUACCUUUUCCAAAAGAGUUACCUUUUCAGGUUUCUCCUCUUUCAUUGCUGGCUCUUUAUGUAUCUCUUCUAAUGCUAGUUCCUUGGGUGUUUCUUCAGUUACUUGUUUAUCAGGUUUCUCCUCAAUUUUUGGUUCUUUGAUCGUCUCCUCAACUGAUGGUUCUUCAAGCUUUUCUCCCACUGUUGGUGUUUCAGGUUUCUCUUCGAUUGUCGGUUGUUCAGGUAUUUUCUCAACCGGUGGUUCUUCUGGUUUCUCCAAAACCCUUGAUUCUUCAGAUUUCUCUUCAAUAGCUGAUUCUUCAGAUAUCUCUUCAACUUCUGGUUCUUCAGUAUUUUCCUCAACUGAUGCAUAGUCAGCAAUGUCAUUGUUGGUAUUGCAUGGAAUUGCAUUGUCUGUUGUGUUCUUUGAGUUUACAAUUGGCAAAUUCUGCAAGAAAAUUUGAAGUUCCAUUUAGUCUUUCAAUAGAUGAAACAUAUUUAAAUUCAUUGCACUUAUAAAGUUAAUAUGCUGAAUAAACUUUGUGACAG
rnacentral:lncRNA from 1 species